rnacentral:rRNA from 1 species
AGAGUUUGAUCCUGGCUCAGGACGAACGCUGGCGGCGUGCCUAACACAUGCAAGUCGAACGGAGUUGAGCCCUUCGGGACUUAACUUAGUGGCGAACGGGUGAGUAACGCGUGAGGAACCUGCCUUUCAGUGGGGGACAACAGUUGGAAACGACUGCUAAUACCGCAUGAAGCUUUUGGGGGACAUCCCCUGGAAGCCAAAGCUUAAUGUGCUGAAAGAUGGCCUCGCGUCUGAUUAGCUAGUUGGUGGGGUGACGGCCCACCAAGGCGACGAUCAGUAGCCGGUCUGAGAGGAUGAACGGCCACAUUGGGACUGAGAUACGGCCCAGACUCCCUACGGGAGGCAGCAGUGGGGGAAUAUUGGGCAAUGGGCGAAAGCUUGACCCAGCAACGCCCGCGUGAAGGAAGAAGGCUUUCGGGUUGUAAACUUCUUUUACCAGGGACGAAGGACGUGACGGUACCUGGAGAAAAAGCAACGGCUAACUACGUGCCAGCAGCCGCGGUAAUACGUAGGUUGCAAGCGUUGUCCGGAUUUACUGGGUGUAAAGGGCGUGUAGGCGGAGAUGCAAGUUAGGAGUGAAAUCUAUGGGCUCAACCCAUAAACUGCUUCUAAAACUGUAUCCCUUGAGUAUCGGAGAGGCAAGCGGAAUUCCUAGUGUAGCGGUGAAAUGCGUAGAUAUUAGGAGGAACACCAGUGGCGAAGGCGGCUUGCUGGACGACAACUGACGCUGAGGCGCGAAAGCGUGGGGAGCAAACAGGAUUAGAUACCCUGGUAGUCCACGCUGUAAACGAUGAAUACUAGGUGUGGGGGGACUGACCCCCUCCGUGCCGCAGUUAACACAAUAAGUAUUCCACCUGGGGAGUACGACCGCAAGGUUGAAACUCAAAGGAAUUGACGGGGGCCCGCACAAGCAGUGGAUUAUGUGGUUUAAUUCGACGCAACGCGAAGAACCUUACCAGGACUUGACAUCCAACUAACGAAGUAGAGAUACAUCAGGUGCCCUUCGGGGAAAGUUGAGACAGGUGGUGCAUGGUUGUCGUCAGCUCGUGUCGUGAGAUGUUGGGUUAAGUCCCGCAACGAGCGCAACCCCUAUUGUUAGUUGCUACGAAAGAGCACUCUAGCGAGACUGCCGUUGACAAAACGGAGGAAGGCGGGGACGACGUCAAAUCAUCAUGCCCCUUAUGUCCUGGGCUACACACGUAAUACAAUGGUGGCCAACAGAGGGAAGCAAAGCCGCGAGGUGGAGCAAAUCCCUAAAAGCCAUCUCAGUUCGGAUUGCAGGCUGCAACUCGCCUGCAUGAAGCUGGAAUUGCUAGUAAUCGCGGAUCAGCAUGCCGCGGUGAAUACGUUCCCGGGCCUUGCACACACCGCCCGUCA